rnacentral:lncRNA from 1 species
GUAGGUUUCGUAAGCUGCAUAGUUCCCAUAAACUGGCGGGUUUUGGCUUCCGAUCUGAUGUUUGUGAUCGUUGUUGAUUUUGUAGCUUAUGAUGUCGUUAGGUGGAUCAUAUCUGUUUACUAGUUUGUUUUCACCUAUGUUUGUAGCUUCUUUCGACUUUUUAUGCAAUUUGCUGUUUUGAGUUGUUCUAAAUAGAUUUAGUAACACUUUCUCAUUGUUUUGUUUCAUUACACCGUUGAACUUUGAUGGCUGCAGCCAGUAAAUUUGAAACGAAUUCUCUGUGCUCCACGCUCGUAUUCUUUGUUAUUGGGAGAGUAGAAGAUGAUGCUCUUGAGUAUCAUUCAGAGUCAACGACUAAUGACUAUUGCAGUCCUGUGUUAAGUCUAAGUAAAUAAGAGAGAAAGAGAUUGCAUACUAAAUCAGCUUUAACUAACUCUGAGUCUCUGUCUGUGUGUGUCUUAACAUAUUGUAUUUAGGAUUUGAACAGAGUGGAGCCUUCUUGGCCUAUUACUAUCCUCACAAACAGAUUAUUGAAUAGGUGUGGUUUUAUAUGGCAGGUAUUCUUCACUGGUGUUUCACAAAUUUUCUGAGGGUAAAGACAUGUUUAUCCAAAUUGUGUUCAUGAAGACAGACCUUAGUCUCUCUGUAAUAGUUACUGACGUUCUAAGAUCUUAGAUUUCUUAUCUAAGAUCCAACCAAGAGUGAAACACUGCCUUGGGAAACUAUUUUAUAUUAGCUGCAAGUGAUAUUGAGUAGUCAGCAUUUCAAUAAUCAAAGAUCACAAUGCUGAAUUCAUGGCAGGUGUAGGAGAUCUAGUUAGAAAUUUACACAAAAACAGGCUUUUUUCCCUUCGUGUAGUUUUUUCUCAUUUCAUGUUUUCUUUUAACAAAGUUUCUUAAUUUUGCCUUUUUUCCUGUCUCUUGGCUUUAGUAGAAUGUAGUUUUUUCACUUUACAAGUUUCAUUUUGCUAGCAUAGAUUCAUGAUUCAUCCUUUGAUUACUUAAAUUCAUAGUAUUUUUUAGAAAACUGCAACCCCCCCCCCCCCCCCAAAAUAUUUUAUUAUUUCAUUUGGGAUCACAGCAAAAUCAGUCGACAGUAGCUGCUUCUCAAAUCUCAACCAAAUCCGUUCUGAGAUCGAAAGGAAGCUUUGACUAUCGUCUUUGAUGGCGAAGGAGCAAAUCUUGAGGCCUUGGUUUCUGGAUCUCGUACCGGCUUUGGUUAUUUUGCUCGCCGCAGCUCAUGUCAUGGCCUUGGUACUUUCUCGUGAUCUUUUCUAUCUCUCUUCUGUACGCUCUAUUCUCUAAUCGUUGAUUCGCUUUGGUGCUUCGUAGGGUUACUGGAUUUACAGAUUGGCGACUGAUCGUCGGGCUCAGAGUCAGAGAGGAAAGUUUCACUGAGGAAAAGAGUAGGUUUCGUAAGCUGCAUAGUUCCCAUAAACUGGCGGGUUUUGGCUUCCGAUCUGAUGUUUGUGAUCGUUGUUGAUUUUGUAGCUUAUGAUGUCGUUAGGUGGAUCAUAUCUGUUUACUAGUUUGUUUUCACCUAUGUUUGUAGCUUCUUUCGACUUUUUAUGCAAUUUGCUGUUUUGAGUUGUUCUAAAUAGAUUUAGUAACACUUUCUCAUUGUUUUGUUUCAUUACACCGUUGAACUUUGAUGGCUGCAGCCAGUAAAUUUGAAACGAAUUCUCUGUGCUCCACGCUCGUAUUCUUUGUUAUUGGGAGAGUAGAAGAUGAUGCUCUUGAGUAUCAUUCAGAGUCAACGACUAAUGACUAUUGCAGUCCUGUGUUAAGUCUAAGUAAAUAAGAGAGAAAGAGAUUGCAUACUAAAUCAGCUUUAACUAACUCUGAGUCUCUGUCUGUGUGUGUCUUAACAUAUUGUAUUUAGGAUUUGAACAGAGUGGAGCCUUCUUGGCCUAUUACUAUCCUCACAAACAGAUUAUUGAAUAGGUGUGGUUUUAUAUGGCAGGUAUUCUUCACUGGUGUUUCACAAAUUUUCUGAGGGUAAAGACAUGUUUAUCCAAAUUGUGUUCAUGAAGACAGACCUUAGUCUCUCUGUAAUAGUUACUGACGUUCUAAGAUCUUAGAUUUCUUAUCUAAGAUCCAACCAAGAGUGAAACACUGCCUUGGGAAACUAUUUUAUAUUAGCUGCAAGUGAUAUUGAGUAGUCAGCAUUUCAAUAAUCAAAGAUCACAAUGCUGAAUUCAUGGCAGGUGUAGGAGAUCUAGUUAGAAAUUUACACAAAAACAGGCUUUUUUCCCUUCGUGUAGUUUUUUCUCAUUUCAUGUUUUCUUUUAACAAAGUUUCUUAAUUUUGCCUUUUUUCCUGUCUCUUGGCUUUAGUAGAAUGUAGUUUUUUCACUUUACAAGUUUCAUUUUGCUAGCAUAGAUUCAUGAUUCAUCCUUUGAUUACUUAAAUUCAUAGUAUUUUUUAGAAAACUGCAACCCCCCCCCCCCCCCCAAAAUAUUUUAUUAUUUCNNNNNNNNNNNNNNNNNNNNNNNNNNNNNNNNNNNNNNNNNNNNNNNNNNNNNNNNNNNNNNNNNNNNNNNNUCCUGCUGCGUCCAGUGCGUGUAUGUGUUAAUGGUCGGUGGAGAUACCCUUUUGUUCUCGUAUCCAAGUUUUCCACUUGCUUGUUACAGUUGUUACCAAACCAAUAUUUAUCCAUUUAACGCUUUCUUUACGCGGAACGUUGUUGGUACCUUCGGAGGCAACUUUUGUGAUGAAAAGCAACCAAAAGUAGAGGGAGCAAGAUUAUACUAUAAUAAUGCAAAAUAUUUAAUUGAUUUACCAGCUACGAAUGCUAUUUUCACCAACUAAUUUAGCUUUUAUUCCCUUUUCGUGUAUGUUUAUUAGAUAUAUAAACAAGUUACAUAAUAAUUAGUCGACAAAAAGUUGUCCGUGCCUGCUGCCAGGUGCAAUAAUUAUGCGAUUAGUUGGUUUGACAUGUGCUCGCACCAUUAAUUCCAAUUGCAUGCUAUUAUUUACCAAUCAAAAACAAGAGAACAUGACACUGAUAAAACAAACUAAAAUAAAAUAUUCAGAAGAAGAAACUAAUCUCUAAUUAACUGGAUUUUCAAGUUAUCAUGAGUCAAAAAUACAGCAUAUAAAUAAUAUAUAUCAUAUGUUUAUUAGCCAUUAAUUGAGAAAAACACAUAAAAUACAGAUAAGCCAAGGACACUAUUGGAAUUAUCUUAUAAAACUCCAAAGCCAUUUCAAGCCCCUUUUAUUUUGUCACACCACACAAGUCGCCCUUUGGUAGAGAGAGAGAGAGAGAGAGAGGCCAACGACCACAGAUAACAAACCCAUACCGUAACACCAUGAGCCCUUCCAAGCAGCGACAUCAUCGCAGCUCCACCGGCGAUACCAAGUCAAAACCGUUAAGAUCCGCCUCCUCCUCCGCUACACCGGAAUGGAUCGCAGAAGCAAUCAACGGCGGCUCCCUCCGCCGCGUAGAUCCCGAAACAGGCACCGACGGAUGGGCUUCGCCUCCCGGCGACGUCUUCUCUCUCCGCUCCGACUCCUACUUAACUAAAAAACAAAAAUCCCCCGCCGGAGAUUACCUCCUCUCCCCCGCCGGCAUGGACUGGCUCAAAUCGACCUCGAAACUAGACAAUGUCCUCGCGCGUCCCGAUAACCGCGUGGCUCACGCGCUAAGAAAAGCUCAAUCACGAGGCCAAUCUCUCAAGUCCUUCAUCUUCGCCGUGAACCUCCAGAUCCCGGGGAAAGACCACCACAGCGCGGUGUUCUACUUCGCCGCGGAGGAGCCGAUCCCCUCAGGAUCACUCCUCCACCGGUUUAUAAACGGCGACGACUCGUUCCGGAACCAGAGGUUCAAGAUCGUGAACCGGAUCGUGAAAGGGCCAUGGGUGGUUAAAGCCGCCGUCGGGAACUACGGCGCGUGCCUCCUCGGGAAGGCGCUGACGUGCAAUUACCACAGAGGCGAUAACUACUUCGAGAUCGACGUCGAUAUAUGCAGCUCGGCGAUCGCGACGGCGAUUCUGCGGCUGGCGCUGGGGUACGUGACGAGCGUGACGAUCGACAUGGGGUUCCUGGCGGAAGCGCAGACGGAGGAGGAGCUGCCGGAGAGGUUGAUCGGAGCUGUGAGGGUUUGUCAGAUGGAAAUGUCGUCGGCGUUUGUGGUCGACGCGCCGCCGCCUCAGCAACUGGCGUUGCAGCCGUGUAGAACGCUGAGUUUGGCGAAAGUUAACCACGACUUUGUUUUCACCUAUGUUUGUAGCUUCUUUCGACUUUUUAUGCAAUUUGCUGUUUUGAGUUGUUCUAAAUAGAUUUAGUAACACUUUCUCAUUGUUUUGUUUCAUUACACCGUUGAACUUUGAUGGCUGCAGCCAGUAAAUUUGAAACGAAUUCUCUGUGCUCCACGCUCGUAUUCUUUGUUAUUGGGAGAGUAGAAGAUGAUGCUCUUGAGUAUCAUUCAGAGUCAACGACUAAUGACUAUUGCAGUCCUGUGUUAAGUCUAAGUAAAUAAGAGAGAAAGAGAUUGCAUACUAAAUCAGCUUUAACUAACUCUGAGUCUCUGUCUGUGUGUGUCUUAACAUAUUGUAUUUAGGAUUUGAACAGAGUGGAGCCUUCUUGGC